AGCCCUAUAGGAUAGCGGCAGUCCGGCGGGCUUUGGACCCGUGUGCGCAGGUUCGAAUCCUGCUAGGGCUA
rfam:Candidatus Altiarchaeales archaeon A3 Ga0073111_1131, whole genome shotgun sequence.